UGUGGAUUCAACUCUGUGUUUAACUAUCGACUUAUCAACCUUUGUCCAUCUCUUGCUUUUGGGAUAAUAUAUCUGGGUUGCAGUUGUGGAUACAUUGAUUUGGAGAGGUUAUCAGUGCCCAUUUCUUUGAAUUAACAGUGAAUUUCUGUGACAAGUUAGCAUAUAAUUUGAGGGUCUUAAAGGAAUUGGUCUGAUAAUAACUGAUGAGACACCAUGGAUAGUGAACUCAUGUUUGUAACUAAGAAGCAUUUAACAAAUUCAGAGGGGACAAAUGAUGGAGCUAUUAUUAUUCCUCGACACAAGAUUUUGAUGACUUCUCCUUCAUCAUCCUCAGAAUCUUCGAUAGAUUCUAUCUAUGUUGAAAAGGAUGAUCGUUCUGAUCCCCUUCUGCAAUCAAAACAAGCAAAUCUUGAUCCGAAAGGAGUUGUAGUUGCUCCAGAAGUUUCAGGUCACAAUCCUAGCAUGAGUAUACACGAAUCUUCAUCUGCAAUAUACGAAAAUCAAAUUCCGAUGCAAUCCGGAGGCUAUGAUCCUAAUAGGAUUCCCUCAUCCGUUUUUGCUAGUAAGCCUGCAACGCCAAUGGAAUGGAGUGUUGCUUCAAAUGAAUCGUUGUUUAGUAUUCACAUGGGAAAUAACAGCUUCUCAAGAGAUCAUGUUUUCGUGCUACACAAAUCUGGAGAAAUUCCCAAGGUCGAGGAUACCAACAACCCCACACCUAGCCUGCCUCCCACCAUCGUGGUGCAGACCCUCGAAAAGAAGAUUGAGGAUAUGAGUGAGGACUCAAAAGUGACAGAAGAAAAACCUGUUAAAGCAGUAGAACCUGAAUUGCCACCCGAUAACACAAAGGCAGUUCCAGAGGAAACUGAGAAAAAAAUCAGUCAGGAAAAGGCCUCUUCUGCUGAGGACCUCAGGAACUCAUCCAGCAGCACCCAGUCUUUUCAAUUCCCAGUGUAAGUUGCAUAAGUUUCUUGCUUUCGAUGGGCCAAUGUUUGCCUGUUAUAUAUGGAUUAGGUACCUGAGGCUAAUUGAUUUUGUUUCAUUUCAGAUUCGAAGCACAUGCGAAAGGAAGUGACUCUGUGAAAGUGGUGAAGGAGAAGCAGCCUUCAAAGAAACAGACAAAACAAGAGCCACAUCCACAAACGCCUGGAACACCACCAAAGCCUCAUGGGAGCAGUUGGUUUUCUUGCUUUUCUUGUUGCUCACGCGGUUGUUGAGAGAGCAUUAAUUCUGGAAGAUUACUUGAACAUUUCAAUUGAUCACUGUACAUAUACAUGAUCCAUCAUUUUGUUGAAAUGCUUGCCUUUUUUCUGGGUUGAAUCAGAAUAUGUCAAUGGACAAUGGUUCUUUUCUAAUUGUAGAAAUCGAAACUUUAAAGAUAUG
rnacentral:misc_RNA from 1 species